AUAUAAAAUGAGCAAAUUUUAGAAUCAAUUCAGAGUUGUGUUCAAUACAAAUGAAUUGUAUGGUUUGACUAAAAUCAAUGCAAAAUAGAGAUGCUUUUUAUGCCCCCAAAAACAUGAUUUCUGACCUUAACUAAUCACGUGUCUUAACUCUUUAGGUUCUGGCCAAAGCCAUUAUUUUUCAGUAGGAAAAAAAAAAUGCAAAAAUAACUGAAGGUGGCUCACUCUACAUGCCAGUUAAUAUGAAGCAAGAACAUUCUCUGUUGAAUGAUCAGAACUGGAGUGCAUUUGUGCAAAUAUGCAAAUGUGUUUCUGUAGUCUGCACUGUGUUUCAAAACUCAUCUUCAGUUUGUAUUAGCAGCAGCAACAACAGCACUAAGAAUUAUUAUAAUAAUACAGACAAUUAAGUUCCUAGAGCAGGUAGUUGUUUGUCAUUUCCCUAGUAAUUCAGCAUGACUCAAGAUAGCUUAUUACAAAAUCAAUGGUGUACUGACUACUGAGCAUGGAAUGCUAACAUAUUUAGCAGAAAUUCUAAUGCUAAGAAAAGGACAAAUAUUUAUGAUAGCAUCCAGAGUCCUAAGUCCAAACCUUAAAUGGACAGCAAUUGAAUCUUCCAUUUCUUUUGCAGAAUCAAGAAGUCGUUCUGCCUGACCAUGACAAGAUUCAC
rnacentral:misc_RNA from 1 species